AACGUAGGAGACAAACGUUAUCCGGAGUUACUGGGCGUAAAGGGCGUGUAGGUGGUUUCGUAAGUCUGGCGUGAAAUUUUUCGGCUUAACCGGGAAAGGUCGUCGGAUACUGCGGAGCUAGAGGACGGUAGAGGCGUGUGGAAUUCCGGGUGUAGUGGUGAAAUGCGUAGAGAUGUGGAGGAACACCAGUGGCGAAGGCGACUUCCUGGCCUGAAACUGACGCUGAGGCGCGAAAGCGUGGGGAGCAAACAGG
rnacentral:rRNA from 1 species